GUGGGGAAUAUUGGGCAAUGGACGCAAGUCUGACCCAGCAACGCCGCGUGAAGGAAGAAGGCUUUCGGGUUGUAAACUUCUUUUAAGGGGGAAGAGUAGAAGACGGUACCCCUUGAAUAAGCCACGGCUAACUACGUGCCAGCAGCCGCGGUAAUACGUAGGUGGCAAGCGUUGUCCGGAUUUACUGGGUGUAAAGGGCGUGCAGCCGGGCAGACAAGUCAGAUGUGAAAUCCUGAGGCUCAACCUCAGGCCUGCAUUUGGAACUGUAUGUCUUGAGUAUCGGAGAGGUAAUCGGAAUUCCUAGUGUGGCGGUGAAAUGCGUAGAUAGUAGGAAGAACACCGGUGGCGAAGGCGGAUUACUGGACGACAACUGACGGUGAGGCGCGAAAGCGUGGGGAGCAAACAGGAUUAGAAACCCUAGUAGUCC
rnacentral:rRNA from 1 species